rnacentral:rRNA from 1 species
UACGUAGGGUGCGAGCGUUGUCCGGAAUUACUGGGCGUAAAGAGCUCGUAGGUGGUUUGUCGCGUUGUUCGUGAAAACCGGGGGCUUAACCCUCGGCGUGCGGGCGAUACGGGCAGACUGGAGUACUGCAGGGGAGACUGGAAUUCCUGGUGUAGCGGUGGAAUGCGCAGAUAUCAGGAGGAACACCGGUGGCGAAGGCGGGUCUCUGGGCCGAUACUGACGCUGAGGAGCGAAAGCGUGGGGAGCGAACAGG